GAUGAACGCUGGCGGCGUGCCUAAUACAUGCGAGUCGAGCGAACAGACGAGGAGCUUGCUCCUCUGACGUUAGCGGCGGACGGGUGAGUAACACGUGGAUAACCUACCUAUAAGACUGGGAUAACUUCGGGAAACCGGAGCUAAUACCGGAUAAUAUAUUGAACCGCAUGGUUCAAUAGUGAAAGACGGUUUUGCUGUCACUUAUAGAUGGAUCCGCGCCGCAUUAGCUAGUUGGUAAGGUAACGGCUUACCAAGGCAACGAUGCGUAGCCGACCUGAGAGGGUGAUCGGCCACACUGGAACUGAGACACGGUCCAGACUCCUAAGGGAGGCAGCAGUAGGGAAUCUUCCGCAAUGGGCGAAAGCCUGACGGAGCAACGCCGCGUGAGUGAUGAAGGUCUUCGGAUCGUAAAACUCUGUUAUUAGGGAAGAACAAAUGUGUAAGUAACUAUGCACGUCUUGACGGUACCUAAUCAGAAAGCCACGGCUAACUACGUG
rnacentral:rRNA from 1 species